rnacentral:misc_RNA from 1 species
CCAAUAGCGUAUAUUAAAGUUGUUGUGGUUAAAAAGCUCGUAGUUGAACCUUGGGCCUGGCUGGCCGGUCCGCCUCACCGCGUGUACUGGUCCGGCCGGGCCUUUCCCUCUGUGGAACCCCAUGCCCUUCACUGGGUGUGGCGGGGAAACAGGACUUUUACUGUGAAAAAAUUAGAGUGCUCCAGGCAGGCCUAUGCUCGAAUACAUUAGCAUGGAAUAAUAGAAUAGGACGUGGGGUUCUAUUUUGUUGGUUUCUAGGACCGCCGUAAUGAUUAAUAGGGACAGUCGGGGGCAUCAGUAUUCAAUUGUCAGAGGUGAAAUUCUUGGAUUUAUUGAAGACUAACUACUGCGAAAGCAUUUGCCAAGGAUGUUUUCAUUAAUCAGGAACGAAAGUUAGGGGAUCGAAGACGAUCAGAUACCGUCGUAGUCUUAACCAUAAACUAUGCCGACUAGGGAUCGGACGGUGUUAUUUUUUGACCCGUUCGGCACCUUAUG